rnacentral:rRNA from 1 species
UAUAAAGUUAUUUUUUAAGCAUUAAAAGGAUGUCUAAGCAUUAAAAUACACAAAUGAACGUUUGUAAACGAAAUAUUAAGUUAAGCUUAUAAAAUAGCUAGGAUACGUAAAUUUUCAUAAACAGGAAACUGAAUUAACAAAAUUUUAAUUUACUUUUUAAUAAGUAAUAAAUUUAGUGAAUUGAAUCAUCUAAUUAACUAAAAAAAAAAUCAAUCGAGAUAUUGUUAUUAGUGGCGAACGAAUACAAUAAAAGACUUAAAAAUUAGUUUAAUUUUGUUUAAUUAACAUUUAAAGUGUAGCCAUAGAAGGAGGAAUUGUAAGCCCUGUAAAACAUAAAUUAUUUUAAUUUUUUAUUAGUAAGGCGGUACUAGUCAUGUGGUGCUUGAAUUAUGGGGUCCCAUCCUCAAAGUCUUAAAAUUUUUAAUGUUUGAUAGAAAAAGAGUACCGUGAGGGAAAGAUGAAAAAGAGUCUGUGGAUUUGAAAAAGAACCUGAAAUUUAUUGCUAACAUUCAGUUGAAGCUUAUUAAUAUUAAAGUGACAAUUUACCUCUUGUAUAAGGGACCAACAACUUUAUUUUAAUAGCGAGCUUAAUUAAAAUUAUGUAGGCGAAAAGAAAUUGAAUUUAAAAAUGUUUAUUAGUUAUUUAAAUAAUACCCGAAACUGAAGUGAUCUAGUCAUGAACAGGUUGAAUUUAACGCGGUAACGCUUAUUGAAGGACCGAACCCGUGUAUGUGGCAAAAUACUGGGAUGAUUUGUGAUUUGGAGUGAAAGGCUAAUCAAACUCAGAUAUAGCUGGUUUUCUGCGAAAUCUAUUUAAGUAGAGCGUUUAAAAUAAACUUUAUUUUGGGGUAGAGCUCUCGUUAAAUAAUGGAAAUGAAAAUUUUAUAAAGUUUAAUGAAACUUCGAAUACAAAUUAAAAGAUUUUAAGCAGCCAGACUGUGGGUGCUAAGAUCCAUAGUCAAGAGGGAAACAGCCCAGAUUAUUUGAUAAGGCCUCUAAAAAUAAUUAAGUGCAAAAAUUGUAAAAAAAUUAAAACAAUCUGAAGAUAGGCUUGGAAGCAGCCAUUCUUUAAAGAAAGCGUAAUAGCUAACUGGUUUAGAUUUUUUGCAUUAGUAAUGUAAAGAGACUAAAAUUAUUUGCCGAAGCAAUAAAUUUAAAUCUAAAUUUAAAUGGUAGCAGAACAUUUUGUAUAUUUUAGAAGACUUAUAUUUUUAUAGGUUGGAGAAAUCAAAACUGAUAAUGUUGGUAUGAGUAACUAGAAACAGCGUUAAAAUCGUUGUCGCCUUAAAUUCAAGGUUUCCAAAGUAAAGUUAAUCUUCUUUGGUCUAUUUGUUAAUCGGUCUCUAAGAAAAAUACGAAAGUUAGAUUUAAUGAGUUUUAAAGGUAAUUUAUUAGUCCUAUUUUUAAAUAAAGUGACAAAACAGGUAUAUUAUUUUUAUUAACUGGUUUAAAUAAAAGUUUUAAAAUGUUUUCAAGAAAUAGCUUUAUUUAUUUUAAAACCGUACCCUAAACCGACACAGGUGAAUUUAUUUAGUAAAUUAAGGCGUUUGAGAAAACUGUAUUGAAGGAACUCGGCAAAAUGACUCUGUAACAUUUGGAUAAAGAGUAACAUUAAUAUUGGUGAGAACCAUUUAUUGUUGGCACAAAAUCGGGGACAGCGACUGGUUAUUAAAACCACAGGUUUCUGCUAAAUUGUAAAAAGAUGUAUAGAAACUGACGCCUGCCCAGUGCUGUAAGAUUAAUAAAAAGGGUUUUUUAGCUCCCAAAAUAAUUCUCAGUAAACGGCGGCUGUAACUCUGACGGUCCUAAGGUAGCGAAAUUCCUUGGCAUUUAAUUGGUGUCCUGCACGAAUGGCGUAACGACUGUCCCACUGUCUCCAAUACAGACUCAGUGAAAUUGAACUUUCUGUGAAGAUGCAGAAAAUUUGCGGCUAGACGGAAAGACCCCGUGCACCUUUACUAUUUUUAUAUAUUGUGUUAAAAUAUUUGGUAAGUAGAAUAAGUGGGAAAUUGUUUAUAAUUAUUUAUUUUUGUAAAUUAAAAAAAUUUUAGUGAAAUACCACUUUCAAAAUUUUUUAAUACUCAUUAUUAAGACAUUGUAUAAUAGUUAGUUUGACUGGGGCGGUGGCCUCCUAAAAAGUACCGGAGGCGCACAAAGGUAAAUUUAUAUUAAAAUAUUUUAAUAUAAAAGUGUAAUAGCAGUAAAUUUGCUUGACUGUUAGAUUUACAAAUCAAUCAGGGACGUAAGUCGGUUAUAGUGAUCCGGUGGUUUUGAAUGGAAAAAGCCAUCGCUCAACGAAUAAAAUGGUACGCCGGGGAUAACAGGCCACUUAUUUCUUAGAGAUCCUAUCGACGAAAUAAUGGGGCACCUCGAUGUUGGAUUAUCGCAUCCUGAAACUGCAAAUGGUUUCAAGGGUUUGGCUGUUCGCCAAGGAAGGCGGUACAUGAUCUGAGUUUAGAACGUCGUGAGACAGUUUGGUCCCUAUCUACCGUAAAUGUAAAAAAUUGAUAGGUUUAAACCUUAGUACGAGAGGACCAGGAAAAGUGAAUCUCUGGUGUAUCGAUUGUUAUACCAAUAGCACAGUCGAGUAGCUAAAUUCAUAUUAGAUAAUUACUGAAAGCAUCUAAGUAAGAAACUAAUCUUAAAACCAAUUUUUUAAAAAGAUGUAAAAGAUUAUUACAUAAAUAGGCUUAGAGUGUAAAUGUUGUAAAAUUUUUAGCUAAUAAGUACUAAAAACUCUAAAAACUUUUUUAAUAGUUAUUG